rnacentral:lncRNA from 1 species
GCAUUGAUUUACGGGUCAGAUCAGUGGCGCGUUUCGUUGGGUACGCGUCGAUCCAUAAUUAUUGCCGUAUUGUAAAGCACUUAGCCUUUAUGACUACACACCGGAGUGCAUAGCCAUUCGAAUUUUUAAAAGCCAGAAACACUCGUGUACAGCCGUUUGUUCCGGUAAAUAAUAGUGCAUGUGGCAAUAAAUAAACGCGCGGGGGCGGCGGUUCCAUGGUAUACGUAAUACAAGGGACGAGCGCUAUUGUACACACCGUGCAUGGGAGUACGUGACACCUAUAGUAUAGAGAGAGAGGGAGAGAGAGAGAAAGAGGGAAAGGAGAGGAAGAAAGAAGAAGGAAAGAGGGAGAGAAAGGAAAUACACGCGUGUGGAAUAGGAAAUGAUCAAGGAAGGCUGGAAAGAAUAAACGAGUGCAAAGUAAUCACUAGGCGUUUGUCGGCCGGUACUCACGGCAGGCACGUUAAUUCUAAUCCCACUAGACGUCCGGCUGCCCUAUCAUGCAUGGGUCUUCGCUAAUUUGCACAAUAAUGGUGUAAUUCCAGCGUCAGGAAGAUAGCGGCCACUACCAUGUCGCCUUCGUGCCUGGCGAUACACGGCCGUACGUUCGAUAAACACGCCCUCGCAACACCGUGUAUAAACACUUUGCGUGGACGUGUUUGCGGGGUAGAGGGUUGCUCUCAAGAGUGAAAGGGGUGAGGCGGAGUAAAGGAUAGCGGCAGAACCAAUUAGCAGCUAGAGGGUUGAAGUGGAUAAAGGACAGGGAAGAUGGUGGAAUUAGAGAUACCGGUUAAAUGAAAAUGCGAAGGGACGGACGGAGAAGGAAAAUGGCCAAAAUUGAGCAAGAGGGUUAGAAGGGAACUAACUAGAGGGAAGAAAGAAAACGAGUCACGGUGCAGGAAUAAUUAAACAGUGCGGAAAGGAACGAACAAGAUUAGAAGAGCUUAAAAAAAAAAAAAAGCGCGGAACGAGGAGGACGAAAAAAACUAGCGAGAUUCUGGAAUGAGCAGAGACGAAUGACACGCGUUCGAAAAUUCGGGAAGGAGGAAAAUUUGAAAAAUAGAAAAAUUAUGGAAAGUAAGAGAGAAAGAGUGUAUAAUGCGCAUGGUAAAACGUGAUAUUCGAGAAUGAACGCGUAUCGCGCAGGCUAUGAACGACUGCUAGGAUCGCGAUUUAAAGCAAUGUCGUUACUGUACACCGGUGUGCAAGCUCAUGUUAUCGACCGUGUGUAAUUCGACUGGGUUGUGUUUAUCGUGCAACGAACAGCAGGCACGGGCCGAUAGUCGUUUAAACGUUAUGUAAGGCACUGUCACGAUUAACAUAACUUCCGUCGUUCGGGACAUUUGAAAUAAAAUUCGCGGAGAGAUUUUUAUCAUCGACUCCUGAUGUUUUUACCGAUUAUUCGUACUGGACGUGCCCGUACACUUGCACGUAAAUCGCGAAAUAUUUUACAAAAUAUGUAACGUAGUCAUAGUCGAAACAUCGGUUUUGGAUUAUUUGGGAUUUAAACGCGAAAUUAAAGAGUAUCUCAAAUAUGUAUUUCCGUGUACUUUAAUCGAAAACUUUAAAAUCGUUCUUUAAAAAAAGGUCUAGCGAAAAUGAUUGGCGAAACGAUGGUACAGUACCAGUCAUUCGAUCAGUCUCCAAUAUUUUCUCCAAUAAAUAUUAUAAAAUAUUUUUGUCCACCGUAGCUAUGAUAAAAUAAACAAUUUCUAAAAUUUAUUAUAAACCGUGACGAUCCUAAAUAAAAAUUAUUCCCUCGAAUGUCGAAGAUUGGAAAUCCAUAAAAUGUGAAAAAAAUAAUAAAAAUAAAAAAAAAGGAGGGAUAAUGUAAAGUACAUCUAUAUAAAAAUUACGGAACGUUCCAUCAUCCGGAUUGAAAUUUAUACACGUCCCCCCUUUUUUAAUGCCUUCUGAUGGUUAUUUCCCAUUCGCGUAGCCGGCCGAUUUAGUAACUUGUUUCAUCAACGAGUCAUCUCGCGUUAAUUAAACGUGUUAUCAAAUUAACGCGACGGUAACGACAACGCGAGGCUUUAAUUAAAUCAUUUAUAACGGAGAGGGGGGGGGGAGGCGGCGUGAUACGUUAAUCAUAUGAAACACCGAAAUAAAUCGAUAUUACUUUUAAUUAAGCAACGAGUGUUUUCCUAUGUUAUCACGGAAAAUUGUCGUAAAUUAUAAUCGAUGGGAAAUUAUCAAUCACCGGAUAGGAUUCGGAUUGAAAACCGGCGUUGUCGCGCCUGAUUCGUUUACGAUCCUUCCGUGAUGUUUGCGCUUCGUUACAAACUCUAACAAUGGCCAAAAACGUGUUUCCCCGUGCUGCAUAAUCCUGCCCAUAUAUUAUGUAUCUUUUGUUAACACACGUCGUAUAAACGUAUGUAUUCUCUUAAUGGAAUUAAGUUAAAUAAUUAUAACAACGAGAAAUGAUAA